UACAGAGGGGGCAAGCGUUGUUCGGAAUUACUGGGCGUAAAGGGCGCGUAGGCGGCCUGCUAAGUCGAACGUGAAAUCCCUGGGCUCAACCCAGGAACUGCGUCCGAUACUGGUUGGCUUGAAUCCGGGAGAGGGACGUGGAAUUCCAGGUGUAGCGGUGAAAAUGCGUAGAUAUCUGGAGGAACACCGGUGGCGAAGGCGACGUCCUGGACCGGCAUUGACGCUGAGGCGCGAAAGCCAGGGGAGCAAACGGG
rnacentral:rRNA from 1 species